AUUUAAUAAUUGGCGGUAUGUUGGUGGGAAUGCAUAAUUAGUGCAGACAGAAUAUACGCGCAGCGAAUAUAUAAGGGUACGUUGUUGGUGGAUCAGCUCUUCGGGUAUUGACAGCAAUCGGACCAGAAGAGUUCACCCUUGCCUUUGGAUGUAGACGUCAUGGACAGGAUUAAAUAUUCGGACAAGUGCUUUGAAUGCGCAGGCACAUAUAUGGAUUUAAUAUGGCGCUUGCUGGACAGAUGGAGUGGAAGGAUCUCCGGCUCGAAGGACCAAUGUUUUGUAGUAGUUGGCGAAGAGGAUUAAAAAC